rnacentral:tRNA from 1 species
GCCUGGGUGGCUCAGUCGGCUGAGCGUCUGACUUCGGCUCAGGUCAUGAUGUCGCGGUUUGUGGGUUCAAGCCCUGUGUUGGGCU